rnacentral:lncRNA from 1 species
UAGAGAUUAAAUGUCUUUUGUUGUCAAUUGUAUGGGGUGGGAUUUAAACCAGUACAUUCUAAUAGCUGAGAGAGCGAACAGUGUUCACAACAAUGUAUUGGAAAUGUUUUAAGACAUAGCUUGGGAUUUACCUCUCACUUCUACUACUAUUUAUUAUUAUUAUAAGCAUUUAUCUAUCAUGGCUUUAGUUUUGCAUUUGAAAUAUGCAGAAAAUUUACGAGGAAAAGGAGACCGUUUGGCUAAAGUCACUUUUAGAGG